rnacentral:misc_RNA from 1 species
GACUGCGAGUUGCAGUUCUGAAGGUUUUUGUUCUUUUUAUCUUCCUUAGUUAUCGACUUCACUUCUCCCAAAUUUUUGUAACCUAUAUAUCUUCUAGGUUCUUUGUCAAUGUGUUUGGCUGCCCAGAAAAUAAUUAAGUGGAUAAAACUUUUUCCUUCUCUUGGAUAGAUGGCGUACAUCCACAUUCAUGUACAUGUUUUCUUAUAAAUUUCUUUCUUGCGCUUGUGCAUGCUCUGCAGAGGUGAGCAGUAUCGAGUGGGAAUCAAUCAAGAUGACUGAACAAGAAGAAGAUCUCAUCCACAGAAUGUAUAGGCUGGUUGG